UACGUAGGGUGCAAGCGUUAAUCGGAAUUACUGGGCGUAAAGCGUGCGCAGGCGGUGAUGUAAGACAGAUGUGAAAUCCCCGGGCUCAACCUGGGAACUGCAUCUGUGACUGCAUAGCUAGAGUACGGUAGAGGGGGAUGGAAUUCCGCGUGUAGCAGUGAAAUGCGUAGAUAUGCGGAGGAACACCGAUGGCGAAGGCAAUCCCCUGGACCUGUACUGACGCUCAUGCACGAAAGCGUGGGGGAGCAAACAGG
rnacentral:rRNA from 1 species